UACGUAGGGGGCAAGCGUUAUCCGGAUUUACUGGGUGUAAAGGGAGCGCAGACGGCAGUGCAAGUCUGGAGUGAAAGCCCGGGGCCCAACCCCGGAACUGCUCUGGAAACUGUGCGGCUAGAGUACUGGAGGGGCAGGCGGAAUUCCUAGUGUAGCGGUGAAAUGCGUAGAUAUAUGGAGGAACACCGGUGGCGAAAGCGGCUCUCUGGCCUGUAACUGGCACUGAGGCUCGAAAGCGUGGGGAGCAAACAGG
rnacentral:rRNA from 1 species